AACGAACGCUGGCGGCAUGCCUAACACAUGCAAGUCGAACGAGACCUUCGGGUCUAGUGUCGCACGGGUGCGUAACGCGUGGUAACCUGCCCUUAGGUUCGGAAUAACUCCCCGACAGGGGUGCUAAUACCGGAUAAUGUCUUCGGACCAAAGAUUUAUCGCCUUUGGUUGGGCCCGCGUUGGAUUAGCUAGUUGGUAGGGUAAAAGCCUACCAAGGCGACGAUCCAUAGCUGGUCUGAGAGGAUGAUCAGGCACACUGGGACUGAGACACGGACGAGACUCCUACGGGAGGCAGAAGGUGGGAAUAUUGGACAAUGGGCGAGAGAAUGAUCCAGCAAUGCCGCGUGAGUGAUGAAGGCCUUAGGGUUGUAAAGCUCUUUUAACAGGGAUGAUAAUGACAGUACCGGGAGAAUAAGAGCCGGCUAACUACGUG
rnacentral:rRNA from 1 species